rnacentral:rRNA from 1 species
AUGCAGCAGAUGACCAUGUCUCCUUCCAUCUGCGUCGCCAUCUUGUUUCUUGCACUGGUCUCGCCUUCGCCAUCAUCAGCCAGCAUUAACAACAACAAUGGCGUCGCCGUCGCGGCCCCUAGCGUGCCCACGGCGACGCAGUUCCUGCAGGCGCACAACGACGCGCGCCGGGCGGUCGGCGUGGCACCCCUGACGUGGAACUCGACGCUGGAGCAGGACGCCGAGAGAUACGCGGGCCGGCUUGGUAUCCGCUGCAAGCUGGAGCCGCUGAAGUGGGACGCCCCGCGUAUCUACGGGCUGAACACCUACUGGGGCAGUGGGUUCAACGAUGGCGCCGCCGUCACUGGCUCGUGGGUGUACGAGCAGCAGUCGUACGACCACCGCGCCAACGCGUGCGCGCCCGGCAAGGUAUGCGUGUCGUACACGCAGGUGGUGUGGAACACCACGCGAGAGCUCGGCUGCGCCCACUGCACCUGCCGGAGCAGCCGCGACACCGUGGCUGUCUGCAGAUACUUCCCUCCCGGCAACUACCGCGGCGUUCCGCCAUACUGA